rnacentral:rRNA from 1 species
ACAAUGGAGAGUUUGAUCCUGGCUCAGGAUGAACGCUAGCGGCAGGCUUAAUACAUGCAAGUCGUGGGGCAGCAUGAGUAGCAAUACUUGAUGGCGACCGGCAAACGGGUGAGGAACACGUACACAACCUUCCUUCAAGCGGGGAAUAGCCCAGAGAAAUUUGGAUUAAUACCCCAUAAUAUAUUUGAUAAGGCAUCUUAUUAAUAUUAAAGCUUCGGCACUUGAUGAUGGGUGUGCGGCUGAUUAGAUAGUUGGCGGGGUAACGGCCCACCAAGUCUACGAUCAGUAGCUGAUGUGAGAGCAUGAUCAGCCACACGGGCACUGAGACACGGGCCCGACUCCUACGGGAGGCAGCAGUAAGGAAUAUUGGACAAUGGACG